AUCCCGAGGAAGCUGGUGCAUGCGACGCGAUGGGGGACUGAUGAACUCAUCUUUUGAGUACUUUUUUUAAAGCUGGUGGAUUGGAGCGACAGGAGGACUAUCCUUCCACUGGGAGGUAUCGUCGCCCUUGCAAAUUCCAAAGCGGCAUAAUCGCUGCCUCGGUAGCCAACUUCAGUGUCAUCUCUAAAGAUGCCGACCAAAGUGCAGCAAACUUGAUCAAGAAUGGCCCUUCAGCAAUUUUCUACUUUAUCUUAGACCGCUGCUGUUGGAGUCGAUGCAAUUUUCCUGCAGACCUACGUAAGAGGAAUUUCAUGCGUGGGUGAAAACUGGGGAGAAAAUGGCUACUACUUAAUCUGCAAGGGCAACAAUAUCUGUGGAUCUGAGUCGAUGGUCUCGUCUGUGGCUGCUACCCCAAACUAAGCCAUUGUUAGUGCCAUUAUAUUAAGGUAACAUGCUCGGACUCUGUAAGUAUGUUUAUAUUAUGGGAAAUGGGUUGUUACAUCAAAUGCUAUGAAACUUGUUCAUUCUCUUGGCCAAUAGUUAUUGCUAGUUAUUGUUGUAUAAUAUGUAUGUUGCUCUGUGGUCAAUUAUCAAUUGAUCAUGAGCCUCUGGAAGCAAGUAUGUUGAUUGAGUUGGGUCUUUUAGAUUUGGGUUUUUCGUCUUUAUUUUUAUUUCCUUUCCAGUUUUUGAGUGGACCUUACCCUACGCUCCUGCCAAUUCUCUUGGCGAAAGUUGUCCUAAUGCCAUGGGCAGGGGGAGACCUUUUGGCUAAUGGACUGUUAGUUGAAAGUCUUAUUCCUUUUCUAAUCCCCUCGAGAUUCCGAAUACUCUAGAAAAAAGAAAAAGAAGUUGGGGUGGGACAAUGAGGUAGAAUGAGAGCUUAAAAAAGCUUGAAUGCUCAGUCAAUUAUGGGAGGAAAGAAAAAAAAACUUCAAGAGAAGCUGAGAACUAUGUGGUCUAAUGUUGAAAAUCGUCUCUUUGAUCGUGAGAGGGUUGAGGAGAGGGAGGAGACUUAAAGGGAGAUUGGUUAAGGAAGUUGUUUCUCAAGAGAACUCGAAUAUUGUUAUUUGGAUGGAGACUGAACAUAGUCUGUUUUGUUGUCAAUUCCUUUGAAAGUACAUGGGAGAAAAGGUGAGUGGAGUUGGAGAGAAUUGACUUUGAAGGGAAAUCAUGGGGGUAUUUAUUCCGUAGAAUAGCGGUUCUUUGUUUGCUAGUGAAGUGGAAAAAUGAAUUUUUUUUUUUUUUGUUAUGAUUUCUUUUUUCUUUCUUUCUUUUUUUUUUUUUUUUGGAAAAAGAAGGGUUUUGGGCACAAACGGAGGAUGUGGAUGUGAAAUUGUAUGAGAAACGUGAGUUAUUCUUUCCUUGUUAAUGGUAGUUAUAG